rnacentral:lncRNA from 1 species
ACUAGCGGAAGACUUCGUCGGGGUCGGAUGUCCGGGCGAGGCCAGCCAGAACAUCACUGAGUCCUCUCCUCGCUGUCCGAGGAGGGGUCCCACUCGACCGUCCAGCCUGGCGGGAGCUGGGGUGGCCAAGCACCAACCAGAGAGGGGUCGGACGCAGCAACUUCACCUGAAAACAGAAGCCACAACAAGGCUGAGCUACUAAGCUCAACAAGACUUAACCGAUAGGAGUAAGGGCUACUC